rnacentral:lncRNA from 1 species
GAGAGAGAGAGAGAGAGAGAGAAGGAAGGAGGGAGGGAGGGAGAGGGAGAAAGAGAGACUGGAAACAAAGAAUCCUUGUCUCUAAGCCCUAGCAGGCAGGAAACCCCAAUCCCGAGGGAAUUUAUCCAGCCAGCCCUGUCCCGGAGUCAGACUCCAGCCCUCUGAAUUCAAUUUGACAGCUUGUCUGGGACACUUUCUAAGUAACCAUUAUCCUUCCUUUCUCUAAGUAAAAGAACUGUUAUUCCUUUCCGUGGGUGUGCUGUGUGCACUGUUAUUGCACACGUGUGGUUAUAUGGUGACGGGGACACACUUUCUCUAAAUUAUUGGAAACAGUUAGCAUGUUUUUUAAGACAAGUGUAAAUUUGUUCCAGGAUAAUGAGGCAAAAGACUUUUAGUAUUAGCCAUUGCCUCGUUAGAGGCAGUCCUAUUUCAGCAGAAGAGAAAUUUUGUUGGGGUGUUGGGUGUAUGCAUUUCAUUCCUUUGAGAAUUCCUUUGAAACUGACACAGACAAAAGUGCCCUCUGAUGACCAGUGCCCUUAGUCUCUGCAUAGACUGACAGAUGAUAAUUUUGAAUAGAUGUGUCACCAUACAUCUUAUUGUAAAGGGAACUCAAAUGUACACUUAUGACCACAGCAAGGCAGAAGUUAUGGGGACAAGCAGGCACAAUGAGAGGUGACUGCCUAGAGUUCAAAGGGUGCCCUGUUCUGUCUGGAAAUGGGGCCAUACUAGGCCCUGGUGACUUUGCUGUCAUGUUGGGAGGGACUGUGCACAGCCACCCUUCCAGUCUAUUUGUAUUUGAAGACCAUCCAGAGGCAGUUCUGUAGGAUCAGUCCAGGCAUAAGUUCCGGAACAAUCUGGAUGACCUGGAAGCUUAGAGAUGCCACAGCUUUGCCCAAUAGGAUUUUUGUAUUUUACCUGUUUACAUUCUGACCAAAAGAUUUGCCCUUCAAAUAAGAAUUGAUUCCUGUAGUCUGUCUGUAAAGUACAAUAUGGACUGCUUCAACAUUCUCUCCUUGCCUAGUAUACCCUUCCUCCCCUGCCUCACCCCCAACCCCACUACAGUCCAUAUUCUAGCAAACCACACACACCUUUAAAGCUCCAGUCAGAUGGUGCUGCCUUGUUUAUAGUCCCAUCUGCCCAUUCCCCAAGGUGCUUUGAAAUCAAUUUCAUUUGAAAAAUGAGGGCUGAAGAUGGAUAGCAGUCUGAUAAAUCAAGCUGUACAAAUUACAGACAAGCAACCCUCUGUCCUUGUAAGCUUCAUAGCUCUGUGGUUCUCAACAAGGAGUAAAAAAGGAAAUCAGAGUCAUUUGGGGAUGCACCUCAAAGACACUUGCCAGGAUGUUCAAGGGACCUACCCUGCCCCACCCACCUUCCUGCAUAAAUUCUGCAGUGUACCUGGUAGGUGAAAGAGCAGGCAGGACGUUGGAGCGAGCCCUUGUGUUCUUAGAAUAAGCACCUUCUGUUGCUUCUGAAAUGUUCUCACCUCUUUGCUCCAGCAUUGUGAGCUAGAGUUUUAGUCAGCACUUAAUGAAGAAGACUUGUAGCUCCCUAGCUCACAUCAGCAUCCUUCCUGCCACCAUGGGUCUACUUCUUCACCCCCAACCCCUGUGCCAGAAGGCACCAGUCCCAGACCCAUUCCUGCUGCUCAGAAGUCCCCCCUUAGACCUUCCUCUUUCCUCAGGCAUGUCUUCUUCGGUCUUUAUGCCUACCAAAGAUGCUCUUAGACGCUCCCUGGAGGGGGAAAAAAAAGGACCUGGCAGUACUCAUUCAUCCUGCAAUGUUAAUGACAACAACAAAUGCAUGAGCCCUGAUGCGUUUUAAUAAAAGAAUGUGAUUUUGUGUGAGCCUUGAAGGGGUGGGAGAAGGUGGGAGGCUGUGGAAAGGUAGUUGUGGGUGACUUGGCCCCCUGAGCAGGCUUCCAACCAGACUCAGCCUCCGACUACACCUCCCACACAGCUAGGGAGGGGCCCUGAGACUGUAGCGCUCAGAGGCCUGGAGCUCCACUAUGCUGAUAGACUAGUUUUUCAGUGGCAGUUCAUACUUCCGAAGUAGACCUUCCAGGUUUUGCAUUCCGAAUUCAUCUCUAGACUCUGGGCAAUGACUAUUUCAGUCCUGCCAUGUCUACCAAGUUUCACUUUGACUUGGGCUCUCAUCCCAGUCCAGAUGACAAAGCUAAGACUCAAAAUGAAAUUGGUCUUAGUUAAUGUAGCUGUAUCAGCACUGCCAUGUGGUCUGGCUUUGUAACUCAAUGUGGCCCCUAUUGGCUGUGUUCAGGAACAGGAGUCCAAAAUACCUUGAAAUAAUUGAAAAAUAAUUGAAAUAAAGGGAGAGUCCAUGAGUCCAUGGGGUUCCAGACGACCCCCUGGUGGCCACCUCUUCAAAGACUAUCCUAAACAUGUUUUGCCUGUAUGUUGAUUUAGAAAUCCCAUGAUAGGGAGGUAGUUUGGAGGGCAUUGGUUAUUAGAAAAUACAGGCAGUCCUUCAUAUGCAGGGGUUCCAUGUGCACAGAUUCAAACAACCACAGACUGAAAAUAUUUGGGAGAAGAAAUGCAUCUGUACUGAACUUAUACAGACUUUUUCUUUGUCAUUAUUCCCUAAAUAAUACAGUAUAAUAACUAUUUGCCUUGUAUCAGGUACAUGAGAAAUCCAGAGAUGUCUUAAGAUAUAUGAGAGAAUGUGCAUAGGAUGUAUACAAAUAAUACACCCUUUCAUGUAAGGAUUUGAGCAUUUUUGGACUUGGAGAUACAAAGCGAUGACUAUAUUCUUGAAAAGUUUGUUUAGUCCCAUGCUCAUAAACCAAAUUCUAUCUAGCCAGCUAUCACAUAUCCAUUAUCUGUAUAUGUAUUUGUCUGUCUAUUGUUCUACCUACUAUCUAUCUGGAGAAAGAGAGACAGAGGAGCUUCUCUCAGGCCAGUCAGGGGUACCAGGGCUCAGGGCAUCUUCUAGAGAAAAGCCAAGGUAUACAUAAUAUCAUUUGCUAUUUUCAUACCAAAAUCUUUCCUAAGCUCUUUUAAUAGAUGUAACAACUUCCUUUCUUCAGAGAAGCCACAAUCUAAGAUAACAGGGAGCUCUCGUAUUGUGAAAUAUCCCUGUGGAAGAGGGUGAAGUCUUCAAGAAAGAAAUCCUGGGGCUACACUAACCAGGACAGGAAUGGUCUAUUCCUCUCUGGUCUUUGGGAACAAUAAACUCCCACACAUGAGGAUCAAGAAGUUUAACACGGCUCUUUAAUAAAGUUUGAAUUUUUGUCAGGCAUAAUCUAAAGAGAAUAUGAUAAUAUUAAGUGGGACAAUUACUUUGUCAAAAUCCAACACGCCCUUCAAUGCCUGAUUCAUUUCUUCAGCCUCCAGCUCUAUUUUUCCUUAUCCCUCAGACUACAGCCUCUUUACUGAACUCCCCACAUUC